UGGCUCAGGACGAACGCUGGCGGCGUGCCUAAUACAUGCAAGUCGAACGCUUCUUUUUCCACCGGAGCUUGCUCCACCGGAAAAAGAAGAGUGGCGAACGGGUGAGUAACACGUGGGUAACCUGCCCAUCAGAAGGGGAUAACACUUGGAAACAGGUGCUAAUACCGUAUAACAAUCGAAACCGCAUGGUUUUGAUUUGAAAGGCGCUUUCGGGUGUCGCUGAUGGAUGGACCCGCGGUGCAUUAGCUAGUUGGUGAGGUAACGGCUCACCAAGGCGACGAUGCAUAGCCGACCUGAGAGGGUGAUCGGCCACAUUGGGACUGAGACACGGCCCAAACUCCUACGGGAGGCAGCAGUAGGGAAUCUUCGGCAAUGGACGAAAGUCUGACCGAGCAACGCCGCGUGAGUGAAGAAGGUUUUCGGAUCGUAAAACUCUGUUGUUAGAGAAGAACAAGGAUGAGAGUAACUGUUCAUCCCUUGACGGUAUCUAACCAGAAAGCCACGGCUAACUACGUGCCAGCAGCCGCGGUAAUACGUAGGUGGCAAGCGUUGUCCGGAUUUAUUGGGCGUAAAGCGAGCGCAGGCGGUUUCUUAAGUCUGAUGUGAAAGCCCCCGGCUCAACCGGGGAGGGUCAUUGGAAACUGGGAGACUUGAGUGCAGAAGAGGAGAGUGGAAUUCCAUGUGUAGCGGUGAAAUGCGUAGAUAUAUGGAGGAACACCAGUGGCGAAGGCGGCUCUCUGGUCUGUAACUGACGCUGAGGCUCGAAAGCGUGGGGAGCAAACAGGAUUAGAUACCCUGGUAGUCCACGCCGUAAACGAUGAGUGCUAAGUGUUGGAGGGUUUCCGCCCUUCAGUGCUGCAGCUAACGCAUUAAGCACUCCGCCUGGGGAGUACGACCGCAAGGUUGAAACUCAAAGGAAUUGACGGGGGCCCGCACAAGCGGUGGAGCAUGUGGUUUAAUUCGAAGCAACGCGAAGAACCUUACCAGGUCUUGACAUCCUUUGACCACUCUAGAGAUAGAGCUUCCCCUUCGGGGGCAAAGUGACAGGUGGUGCAUGGUUGUCGUCAGCUCGUGUCGUGAGAUGUUGGGUUAAGUCCCGCAACGAGCGCAACCCUUAUUGUUAGUUGCCAUCAUUUAGUUGGGCACUCUAGCAAGACUGCCGGUGACAAACCGGAGGAAGGUGGGGAUGACGUCAAAUCAUCAUGCCCCUUAUGACCUGGGCUACACACGUGCUACAAUGGGAAGUACAACGAGUCGCAAAGUCGCGAGGCUAAGCUAAUCUCUUAAAGCUUCUCUCAGUUCGGAUUGUAGGCUGCAACUCGCCUACAUGAAGCCGGAAUCGCUAGUAAUCGCGGAUCAGCACGCCGCGGUGAAUACGUUCCCGGGCCUUGUACACACCGCCCGUCACACCACGAGAGUUUGUAACACCCGAAGUCGGUGAGGUAACCUUUUGGAGCCAGCCGCCUAAGGUGGGAUAGAUGAUUGGGGUGAAGUCGUAACAAGGUAA
rnacentral:rRNA from 1 species